rnacentral:rRNA from 1 species
GAUGAACGCUGGCGGCGUGCCUAAUACAUGCAAGUCGAACGGACAGACGCGGAGCUUGUUGCGCGGUCGUUAGCGGAGCGCGGGUGAGAAACGCGUGGAUAACCUCCCUGUAUGACUGGUAUCACUUCGAAAAACCGGCUCUAAUAGCGGAGGAUAUAUUGAACCGCGGGGGUCAAUGGUAAAUUACGGUGGUGCGGGCUGUUAUAGCUGCAUCUGAGCGGCUUUAGCUAGUUGGGAAGGUAACGGCUUUCCAAGGCAACGAUGCGUAGAAGACCUGAGAGGGGGAUCGGCCACACGGGAACGGAGACACGGUCCAGAGUCCUACGGGAGGCAGCAGUAGGGAAUCUGACGCAAUGGGCGAAAGCCUGACGGAGCAACGCCGCGUGAGUGAUGAAGGCCUCCGGAUCGUGAAGCCGUGUUAUUAGGGAAGAACAACUGUGUAAGUAACCAUGCACGGAGUGACGGUACCGGAUCAGAAAGCACCGGCUAACUACGUG